GAAGAACAAAACCCUAGGUGGAAACAUUCAAGGGAAAAGUGUGAAAAUUCAAGGAAACAAGUGAAAAAAAGGUAAAAUUUUUCAACUAAGCUUGAGAUCUCUCUUUCUUAAGCAUUUUUUCUUAUUUUCCAUGGUUGAAUCACAUGAUUUCAUGAUGGGUCCCUUGCUGGCUGAACACUUAUAGAGAGAUUUUGAUGGUUGUUUAGGUUAGAUUUUAAGAUAUUCUAGUGUUUUUAGUUGAUUGGUGAUAUGUAGCAUGAAAAUCAAGCAAGAAAAAUUCAUGUUCUUCCCUCACCCAUCAUUGGCUAAAUUCUCCAUGUAGAAUAUUGAUGAUGAUUUUGAUUUUAUUUUAAGUGAUUUGGUUAGGAAUUAGUGAUUUAUGGUGUGAGAAUCAAGCUUGAAAAAUUAUAUUGUUAGUGCACCCACCAUGGCCGAAAUUUCCAAGAGAAAAUGUGAAGAUGAAUUUGCUAAAUUUCAAGUUAUUUUAUUUAUGUUUGAUGAUUUGGAGUAUUGGGAGAAAAAUAGAAUUAUUUGGAGUUAAAUUGGACGUAUUGGCCAAUUAAUCGGGUGAUAGAUCGAAUUAAGCCAAUACCGUUUUAUUUAGGUACAUAAUUGAAUUUUUAUUGAACACCGUAUUUAGAUAGUUACCUGAGUAUUUCACAUCCCAUUUCAUGCAUUAGUAUAGAACCUGAAUUGGUUUUAUAACAAUUUAGCACAAAUGUAGUAAAUGGCUUAUUGUGCAUUAUGUCUAGGUGGUGAGCAUUCUGGCAAAAGUAAAGAGAUAAUACUCGAGGAUUAAGAAUCGGAGUACUCGAAAUUCGACUCCCGAAAUAGUGAGUAACCUUACUAUUAUCUUAAUUAUCUAAAGUGGUUUUUAUCCAAUUUUGUGAUUUUAUGGAAAAUGAGUUUAAAUGGUAAUUCUUUAUGUUUUAUAAGCAAAAUGUGUUUAAAUGAAAUGGUUUUAUAAAUUGUCUUGAAAUUGAAUGAUGGCUUUCAAAAUAGAGUAAUUGGAGACCAUUUGAUGUAUUGUGAAUUUAUGGUUCUAAUUGAUUGGCUUAUGACAAUAUUGGCAUGAAUGGUUGAAUUGGUAUUUGUGUUAAAAAUGUAUAAACUGUUGUUUGCCUUGAUAGGUUGGAUAAUGAUAAAAUUGCCAUGUCAUGCUGUUGAAUUUUUAUUGAAUUGGUGGGUUAUAAUUGGUCGCUGCAGUGGAUGGGUUUCGUGGACCAGCCUGUUAGAGGGGCACGAUAACCCUAUACCAUUCAUACCUCAGUAUGAGAGGUGCGGUUGGAUAACUUCUGAGGUUAAAACUUUAGAGUUCACUUCACGCCAAACCACCACAUGAGGGUGAACUCAGCCAACACCAAGGAAUGACUAUGUUUUCAAAAUAAAAACAUGAUUUAUUUGUACAUAACUUUUUAAUAGCCUUGGCGGACUCGGUCGGGAUAGCCCUCGGCCAAGGUAUCCCUGAUAAUUGAGUAUGAGAAUAAUUUUGACACGAGCCAAACUUUUCAGGAAAUCAUAUGCCUCGUUGUUUAUUUUGGUGAAAUGAAUCUAUUUUAUCUUAUUAAAAUGAGUUCGAAAUGUUGAGAAUCAUUUUUAUGCUAAUCUAUUUUAUUUGUCUCCAUUCACUCAGCUUUAGAUAUUUUAGAUGGUAUUUGUUUACUCACUGGGAUUAUAUAAUCUCACCACCUUCAUUUCCACCUAUUUUAGGCUCAGGAUAGUCGGUAGGUAGCUCACUUUGUUGAGGGCUACAGUUGGACUUGCAUCCUCAAAACUUGUAGGUUUACCGCUUUUGAUACUUUUGGUCGUUCGUGGGCCCACGUGUCACUAUAAAUCAAAUCUUAUGCUUUGGUUAUCUGUAUUACAGUAUGUAUCAAUUUAUUUAGCUUUUACGCUAUAAAAAUUAUUUAUAGGUAACUCUACAAAUAUUGUUUUAUAAGAAAAUAAAAUAUUUUAUUGAAUAUUUUUAUUAUAUUCAAAUAGUUAUAAUUUCACUUUAAAUGAAUGUUUUAGACAUCUAAACUUAUUUUUAAUUGUGAAAUAUGUGUUUUCCACUCGCAUACUACAUUUUUAGAUGGUUUCGAAAUUUUUGGGAAAAAUCAUCAAAAUACCCCUGUGAGAAAAAAAUUAUUUUUUCUAUUGUUUUGAGUUGAAAAUAGUUUAUAAUCUCUCAAAACAUGAUACUAACAACUGUUGCUCAUAGGGGAGGUGCGAAAAUCAAUAUUAAAGCCUUGCGAGGUUUCGAUUGCCAUUCCGAGCAAUGAAUAUUUAUUGGGACGUCGCGACGAUUGUCACUGGCUUGAGGGGGUACUGGGUCAUGAUAAUUUAAUUAAUUACGCUCAAUUAUUUAAUUAAACAAUUUAAUUAAUUAGGCUCAAUUAUUUAAUUAAACAAUUUAAUUAAUUAGGCACAACUUAAUUAAACAAUUUUAAUCAAGUGCUUAAAAAGCUCAAAACUUCUAAUUUGAUUAGGUACAACUUAAACACCUCUCCCAUUUUAUUUCAACAUUCAUAUUAGGUGUGUGACCCAUUAGGCUUCCAACACAUUGGCAAUGAACUCAACAUAUAAUUCUUAAGUUAAACUUAGAAUUAGAAAAAUUUAGACUACUUUAAAUUUAUCAUUAACCAAGUUAACUACCUAGAGUUCAUAGACCAAGAUUGGGAUCUAGCAAUCCAUCAUGCCCACCCAAAUGUUAGAAGUGUCAAGAAGGUUUGACUUAAUCUUUUAAUGAUCAAUUUUUCAGUGUAAUUCAUUCCCUCAUCAUAUAACCCAGAGAUGAUAAAAGGAUGGUGUAGUGUCUACUCUUAUUGAUCUCCAUAUUUGUUCUUAAAGUUUGAUCAUCAGCUUUAUAAAGACUUAUGAAACUCUUUUUAUAUCUUCAAGUCUCCUUGCCCAAGAACUUUAAUAAGCUAAUAUCAACCAAGAACAGUUAGGAUAUGUCCCCUACAUCACUUGGGGUGAUGAUUCCUAUCUUAACCACUCAUUUACCUUCACACGCUUCAUGUUAUACCCAAAAGCAUCCUGUUUUGGCAUCCUUGGUUAGGCACCUAUAGGGAUGAAAUCAAAGCAUAACACUCCACUCAUAAGACAACCAGGUGUCUCAAGUCUAGGGAGUAUUUACACAACUGACAUAUGAGAAGUAUUGCAUAGACAUUUGAGUGAAAUACCAAAUGCACUUCUCAUGGCGGGUCAUGUGCAGUAAACUUGCUCUCUUAAGCAAGCACUUACAUUCUAAUUUCAAGUAUCUCUAUACUUUAACCUAUGAGAUUAGUUGCUUACUUCUCAAGUAAGGAACAUAGAUGCACCAGUCUUUAGGUAUCAUUGAUGUCCAGUCUCAAUGAUACAUUUGUAACAUCCUGUACCCUCGUAUAGAAGUCAAUAAGACCUUAUUAAUAAGACGAAGGAUCAAUUGACAUAAAUUUAAGUGCCAAAGAGCGGUGAUGGGUGAAAAGAAUAUUUUGAAAUGAAAUAAUAUUUUAUUAAUAAAAUAAUAUUAAAAUAUUAAUAUUUUAUCUAUUGUUGAAAUUAGUCAUGAAGGAGGACUAUAUGACUAGUCUAAGUGGGGGAGAAGAAGUAAGAAAGAAUUUUGAAGAAAAACGGCAUUAGUGGGCCUCGCGUGUCUUUAUUAAAUAGAGCAAGAGUGGGUAAGUAUAUAUUUAAAUAUUAUGGUGACACCUUGGUGAAGUGCAAAUUUUAUAUUUUAUUUGUACAAGUGUAAAUGAAGGAAAAUAGAAGGAAAUUAGGAUUAAAGAAAUGUUGGAAGAACCAAAUUGCAAAGGAUGAAAAGUAAAAGGGUCGAAUGGUAAAUAAGGAAAAGUUUGAGGACUUAUGUGCAAUUUCAACAUUUGGAGUUAAAUGGAAAAUAACUAACCAAGGAAAGUUAGAUUAUGUGGGAUAAUGAGAUGUUCAUGUGAAUUUACUAUUACAUGCAAAUCAUAGCGUGCAAAAAGGAGAAGUUAGUGGGGAACAUGUAGGACCCCCACCAUGUGAAGUAAAAGGAAGGAUAAGAUUAAAUUUAUUUGCAUGUAAUAAGAUUGGUGCAUUAGGUGGUGAAAUGAAGAAAGUAUAAAGUGGAAUGCAUGUGACUUGAAUGGUUUAAUAAAUGACCAAAUAAACUAUAAAGUGAAGCUUGUGCAUGAAAUGUGAUUGGAGGAAUAAGGUGGUGCAUGAAAUAAAGAAUGAAGAAAAAAAGAAUGAGAGAGUGAAGGUGGUGGAUGGAAAGCUAAAUGAGGAUAGAUUAUGAGCCAAUGAAUAAGAAAGGAAAUUGGUGCAUGAAAUUUGAGUGGGGGAUGAAUUGGUCCAAUGGGAGAUAAAGAAUAAAUAAGGAAAUGAAAUGUGAGGAAAACGCUUGGAAAAACCGAACCUUCAAGAAAAAAAAAAGAAUCGACUUAAACGUAAAAAGAGAAAAGAAGAAAUAAGAAAAGCAAAAAGGGAGGUUCAGCUUUAAAGGAGUUAAAGAAAAACUAAGAGGUUUUCCUCCCACACACACGCCAUUGUUGGAGCUAAAGAAGACAUUGGUGGUUCAGCUUCGAGAAUCCAAGGUAACGAAGAUAAAAAUUACCAUUUUGUUUGAAUGCAUGCCUUCUGAACCAAUUAUAAUGUGGGAUUUUGCUUGCGGUAGCAAGAAUCUUCAAGGAUUCAAGAACUGGAUGCAUGCAUGUGGGUGGAUCUUGGAAUGCAUGGUGACUUUUAGCUAGAUAAGUAAUGGAUAAGUGUUUUAAUCUUGAAAUCACAAGUAGAAGGGAGAAAUGAGAUGUGUAUUAAUUGCUUAUGCUGUGGUAGCAAUGGUGACCGAAGAUGUGAGAAAAUUGUGAACUAUAUGUGGAAUUCAAACUAAAAUUGAAAAGUAAGCAUGUAAUGUGAGUACAUUAUGUUGUGUUGGCUAUGGUCGGUUGAAAGUUUGUGGAUUGCAUGUUAAUAAUGUUGAUGAAAAAUAUGAAAUCAGGUUACUGAUUCAUUGAUUGAAGUGUUGUCGUACUGUGAAUAAUUAAGUAUAUUAAGUUUGAAUUGUUGCUAGGAAGUGUGUAAGUGAGGAAGGUUUAUCGUGGUGGUGUACCGGAAGAGAUAACGGGUGAUCAGCAAGUAGAAUUAGCUAGAUACAUACCCAAAUCGAUAGCAACGUAGUGUCCCACUAUUAUAAGAUAAGUAAAGGGUGUCUAUUUUAAAAUUUCCAUAACUAUAUAUCAAUAUACAAUUAAUAAACAUGUGGUUUGCUUUAAAUGCAAUUUGUGGACAGCAUAAGUUUGUAGAAUGUUAGGCUUGUGAAUGCCAUGCUUUAAGAAAGGUUUUGUAUAUAUGUAUAUAUUAACUACAUAUGUAAAGAGUUUUAGAAAUCAGGAAACAAGCACUUUACCACUGUUUAUGUCAAAAUGUGCCUUAUUUAUUUGUGUGAUGUGCAUUCAUGAAUAAAUUACAUAUAUUCACCAUGCUGAUUUGAUAUUUAAACCUCAUGCAAAGGUUUUAUAUUAUAAAGUCUUAUAAAGGGAUUUUAUCAUGUUACCAAAAUUGGUAUUUUGGAAAUGGUUUUGAAAUAAGCUUUUAAGAACCUAACAUGAUUUUUAAAUGGUUUUAUCAAACCGAGAGAUUUGAGAGUAGGCCCAAUGUCACAUCGAGGAUAGUGUGACCCUUGUGCACAAGUGAGCUCUAGCUAGAGAACCUUUAGGUGGUCACCGACAGGUUGUUAGACGUGGCUAGGCCACAGCCUAUGAUAUAUAUGUGGCAAGGCCACGGGUUUAUAUAUGUGGCUAGGCCACAAGUUGAUAUACGUGGUUGCGACCACUUGAUUUCUCCGAUGUCGGCCAACAUUGUCGAGAUUGCCAUGGCUGUGGGAAUCCGGUGGAGAGGGGCUUCCCGGAUGUUAAUACUUGGAAGCAGGGUUCACGAGUUCUUUAUUUCUAUCACCUACUCAAAAGUGAUAUCUCUUUGGGUUUUCAAAUACGUAUUCUUUCGCAUGGUGAGAAUUACGAGUUUUUUCGUAGCUCCCUUAUUUAUACGAUGGAUUUGUCUUUAAUAUCUUGAGGAUGAGAUCGUUUAUAAACUUGUGUACAAGCAUCGAUAUUGCUUGAUUUUACGGGAGCGUGUGUGCUUAUGUUAGCCUGAUUUUAAGUAAAGGACAAUAAAUGAUUUCAACGGUAGAAGUCUUUUACUUGCAUUGUUUUUUUAUAUAUUACUUACUAUUUUGCAACACAACUUUUGGGUUUGCAUAUAAGGCACAAAUGCUUCAUUUGAUUUUAAAUUGUUUAUAUAUAUUCGUAUGUUUUUAAUGUUCAAAUUAUUUAUCCUUGGCUUGUUUCCCAUCUACGCCCUACUCACAAAGUCGAUGAUUACUGAGUCUUUUAGACUCACCGCCUCUAUCUUCCUUUUAUGAUGUAGGUGAUGGCAUCUCUUAGACUUUCACUUUGAGUCGCUCCGUUGCAUAGGGGUCGUGUUAUGUAAAACUGUUAGAUUUAUAAAAUUAUUAUUAGUCUAUCGGAUAUGUAUUUGCUAAAACUUUGAGGUUGUGUAAUGAAUUCUAAGUGUAAUAUUGGACCUAGCCCAAAGUUGGUUAAGUAUGGAUAUUGGUUUAAGUAAACGAUGGCAUUAAUAUUGCAAGUCGAUUUUAAUUAUCCGGAAUCUCAACUAAGGCUUGUUCAGGAUUUGAUGGGUUCACUCGCAAGUCUCAAACGUCGGUAACGAUUGGGUGGAAGGUCGUUAUAGACUUGGUAUCAUAGCCCUAGGUUUAGUUAAGUCCUAGAAAUUCCCGUGUCAAGCAGCAAAGUAGUGGGGUCGAUGUAGAGUCUUGCUUAUAGUUAAUUAUUGCAGCACUGAUUAUAAGCAGGAGGCUACGUGGUCUUCUUUAUAUAUCUUAGAAAACUACCUUGUGUGAUUAUAAAAGAUAACUAAAUGAUGAGAAUUGAUUGUCGAUGUCCAGGUUUGAGAUGCCACUUAGGACUUGAGCAUCUUUGAGGUCUGCAGGUAAGUUAGAGGUGCCCAAAGAGACUGAUGAGCAACUACGGGUUUUCGUCUCUCGAAGUCAAGGCUGUACUAAAACAAGGGGAAGAAGGAGUGUCUGACGUUUCGGUGAUGGUAGUUCUAGUGAUCGCAGAAAUGGUAGUACGAACAGUAUUGGGGCUGGUGGACCUACUUUAGAGAACACUACUUUGGAUGAUUUAGCUGCCAAAUUGCAAAAUUUGACCCAACAGUUUACAAAAUUUACUAGGCACUGUGCUGACGCGACCGAAGAGUAUAUGGAUUCAAGCUCACAAAAUCCGAAUUAUGAUCCAAAUACAAAUAUAAUAGAUGAGGAAGGGCCAGAUGAGGAGGACAAGGAAGAUUCGAAUAAUGAUGAAAGAGAUUAAUCAAUUUCGUUGUCUGCAUUUAUGAAGCUAAAACCUCCAUCAUUCACUGGUUCCACUGUGGGAGAAAACCCACGUAGAUUUUCGAACACCAUAGAAAGGAUUUGUCGUGCUUUAGAAGCUUCAAGCAAGAGGUCAAUAACAAAGGCUAGUUUUCAUCAAGAGGAUGUGGCACAGUUGUGGAUUACGUCAUACAUGUGGGGUAGACCUAGUAAUGCUAGUCUACUUGGUUGGAAGGAAUUUGAUAAAGCCUUUAUCGAUAGAUUUAUGCCUCGUAAUGUGCGAUUAGCUAAGGCUAAGGAGUUUGUGGCUUUGAAACAAACACCCGCGAUGGUCGUAUCUGAAUAUGAUGUGUAGUUUACACAACUUUCUAGAUACGCCCCAUACCUUGUAUCUUUGAAAGAAAAAAGAGUGAAUCAGUUUGUGGCUGAACUGUCUGAGUAUUUAUUUAGAGUUGUUGCUCCUCAGAGGUUUGAUUCAUAUUCCGAUGCAGUGGAUUGUUCUCGGUUAAUAGAGGGUCGUAGCAUAGAAGUUAGGGCAUUUCGUGAAAGUACCGAAAAGACUAAGACUGAAGGAUAAACUAGUCAAAGGAACAUUAGUCAAAAGAUGACUUUUGGCAGGUCAAGUCGGUCCAGUCAAAGGGAUACUAUUCCAAAUAGAGGGCUAGUGUCAACUAGGUCUCAAGGGUCAUGGAGAAACCCCUAAUUUAGUAGUCCACCUCGUCGUGGAAAUUUUUCUAGAGCAAAUAGUCACCGAGGAUCUGGUAAUGAAAUGACUAGACCUAACAGUCGAUAAAUUGGCCGGAGGAGUUCUUAUUGUGCACGUUAUGGUAAUAUGCAUGUGGGGCCAUGUGCUCAAUCAUAUGAUGUAUGUUUUAAUUGUGGUCAAGUGGGACAUAUGUGAAGAGACUGCCCCUAUGAUUGUAGAUCACAAGGAACUGGUCGUGGGUUUGUUCAACCAGCAUCUGUAGUAGCAUCUGCAGUUUCUCCUCCAACUAGGAGAGGCCGACUUCAUAAAGGUAAGGGAAUAGCUUCUACCUCCCAAUCUUGACUUGCUGAGUUAGUGCCACAAGGUACUUUCGGAGGAGGACGAGCGAGAGUAUUUGCCAUGGGUCUGCAAGAUGUGCCUACUUCUAAUGAUGUGGUGAUAGGUACUCUUUUAAUUUGUGGUUGUGAAGCAUUGUUAUUAUUUGAUCCUUGAGCGACCCAUUCUUUUGUUUCCUUGAAUAUCAUGUCAAAAUUGAAUAGACCUUGUGAAAUAAUGAUAGACCUAUUGGUAGUGACCAUUCCUUUAGAAGAAAUUUAUAUAGCAGAGUUUGUCUAUAAGUUUUGUGUAGUGCAAAUUAACCCUCAGGGACAUUGAUGGAUUUAGUGUUAUUAAUGACGUUGGGAUUUGAUGCAAUAUUAGGGAUGUAUUGGUUGUAUGAUUGUUACGCCAAUGUCGAUUGUCACUACAAAUAUUUAAAAUUUAAGUUUCCCAGAGAAGUCCCCUUUAUUAUCUACGGACAUAGCAAUCCGUGUAAUAAGGGAAUAUUAGCGAGAGUCACUAGGGUGGAAACGGGACAGAAUUAUUUGGCGUGCAUAGCAACCAAGGAAGGUACGUUAAUGGAGGAAGAGGUUCUGAAUAUUAAAAUGGUGCCAAUAGUUAACGAAUUUGAAGAUUUUUUUCCCGAAGAAUUGUCAGGGUUGCCCUCAGAAAGGGAAGUUAAGUUUUGCAGUAAUUUGAUUCCUGGCAUGGAACCAAUAUCCGAAGUUCCUUACCGGAUGGCACCAGUAGAUAUGUGAGUACUAAGAGAGCAAUUGUAAGAGUUAGGGAAAAAGGAUUUAUUCGUGCAAGUACUUCACCAUGGGGAGCUCCGGUAUUAUUUGUAAAGAAAAAGGAUGGAAGUUUGAGGUUAUGUGUGGAUUAUCAAAAAUUGAAUAGUGUGACUAUUAAGAAUAAAUACCCACUUCCCAGGAUUGAUGAUUUAUUCGAUCAACUGCAAGGAGUGUGAUGUUUUUGGAAAGUUGAUUUACGCUCGGGGUACCAUCAGUUAAGAAUUCGGGAAGAGGAUAUACUAAAGACCUCAUUUCAUAAGAGGUAUGGGCAUUUUGAGUUUUUGGUUAUGUCCUUUGGUUUAACUAAUGCUCCCGCCACUUUUAUGGAUUUAAUGAAUAGAGUAUUCUGAGCCUAUUAGGACAAAUUUGUGGUGGUAUUUAUUGAUGAUAUCUUGGUGUAUUCUCAAAGUCCAUAAGAACAUGCACAACAUUUACGAAUGGUGUUACAGACGCUCUAAGAACAUGAAUUAUAUGCAAAGUUCUCUAAAUUCGCUUUUUGGUUAAAGAGUGUUAGCUUUCUCAAACACAUAAUAUAGAAAGAAAGGAUUAGUGUGGAUCCAUAAAAGAUCGCAUUGAUCCAAACUUGGUUAAGACCUAGUAUGGUUACUGAGGUUUAGAGUUUUCUGGGAUUCGCCAGGUAUUAUCGUCGAUUUGCGCAGGAUUUCUUGAAAAUCAUAGCGCCAUUGACUAAGUUGACCCGAAAAGGAGCUAAGUUUGAAUAGACUGAUGAAUGUGAAGAUAACUUCUUAAAACUAAAAGAGUGCUUGAUUUCGGCACCAGUCUUAAGUUUACCAAAUGGCCCAAGAGGUUGUGUUGUGUAUUGCAAUGCAUCAAGAGUUGGAUUGGGAUGUGUGUUGAUGCAAAAUGGUAAAGUUAUCGCAUAUGAUUCAAGGCAACUUAAGAGGCUAUUCUACCCCUAACUUGGAGAUGGCAACGAUAGUAUUUGCCUUAAAGAUUUGGCAUCAUUAUCUAUACGUAAAAAGUUUUGAAAUAUAUAUUGAUCACAAGAGUUUAAAGUAUAUAUUUCAACAACAAGAUCUCAAUUUAAGGCAACAUCGAUGGAUGGAAUUGCUCAAAGAUUACAAUUGUACCAUUUAAUAUCACCCUAGUAAGGCGAACGUGGUAGCUGAUGCUCUAAGUCGAAGUCUAUGGGGAGUUUGGCACAUUUGUCUACUGAACAAAGAAGUAGAAUGCAUGGAUGGCAAAGCUUAGGCAGUAUGGAGGUCAAGAUUGAUAUUGGUGGGCCUAAUGCCCUUAUUGUUCAUUUUUUAGUACGACCAAUGAUCUUGGACCGAAUUUGUAGUGCUCAGGAUCAAGAUGAAUUCGUGAUGAAAAUCUUGGGAUUUGAAGAGCAAUAUCAAAAAUUUGUGUAUGGAGAUGAUGGAUUGUUGAAGUAUGAAUCCCAAACGUAUGUGCCGGAUUGAGAUAAAUUAAGGGAAGAGAUUUUAGACAAAGCUCACAUUACUGCCCAUAAUGUACAUCUAGGGGCCACCAAGAUGGAUCACGAUUUGAAAAUGGUUUAUUGGUGGCCAGGCAUGAAGAAAGAUGUAGCUAAAUAUGGAGCCAAGUGCUUAACUUGUAAACAAGUCAAGGUUGAACAUGGGAAACCCCCAGGUUUGCUACAACCCCUGUCGAUUCCCGAAUGGAAAUGGGAACAUGUAGCAAUGGAUUUCGUGACUAGAUUGCCCUGUGUCAGAGGGGGGUAUGAUUCGAUUUGGGUAAUAGUGGAUCGGUUGACCAAAUCUGCUCACUUUAUUCCAGUAAAGACUAGCUAUGGGUCAGCUAAAUAUGCCGAGGUUUACAUUGACUGUAUCGUGUUAUUGCAUGGAGUUCUCAUGACCAUAGUAUCUAAUCAAGGACCUUAGUUUACUAAUAAAUUUUGGAGAAGUUUACAUGAAGCUUUAGGCACUUGUUUAGAUUUCAGUAUAGCAUAUCAUCCUCAAACGGACUGUUAGUCAGAGCGUGUGAUACAAAUGCUUAAAGACAUGCUAAGGUCAAUAGUGUUGGAUUUGGGAACCACGUGGAAUCAAUAGUUAUCUUUGGUAGAAAUCACAUAUAAUAAUAACUAUCAAGCUAGUAUCGGAAUGGCUCCUUUUGAAAUGUUAUACAGACAAAAGUGCAGAUCACCUAUUAAAUGGUUUGAAGUGGGAGAAAGAAAAUUAUUAAGUCCCGAUCAGGUGCAACAAGCAACUGAUGUGGUGAGUUUGGUAAGGGAACGUCUAAAUUUGGCACAGAGUAGACAGAAGUCUUAUGCAAAUAAUAUAUGUCAUCCCUUGGAGUUCCCGAUGGGAGAUUUUGUGUUUUUCAAGGUGUUUCCACUGAAACGAAGUAAAAGAUUCGAAAAGAAAGGGAAGUUGAGUCCAAGAUAUAUUGGACCUUUCAAGAUCUUAGAACAAAUUUGGGUAACAGCAUAUGGACUAGCUUUACCAAUGAAGCUAGCUCGUGUGAACACCACUUUUCAUGUGUCCAUGUUGAGAAAGUAUGUUAAGGACCUAACACAUGUUAUACAUUAUGAUUCGGUUCCUUUAGAUGAAAGAUUAUCCUUCGAAAACCAACCAGUAGCAAUACUAGAUGGACAAGUGAAGCAACUGUGCUCUAAAAAAGUUUCCUCAAUAAAGGUUUUGUCGUAAAAUUGAUCAGUGGAAGAGAUAACCUGGGAACCCGAAGAGGAAAUGAGGAAAGAAUACCCACAUCUUUUUCAAGAAUAAGGUAUGCCUAAUCAACCCACUCUAUUUAAAUUCGAGGACGAAUUUGUUUUAAUUGGGGGAGAUUGUAACACCUCGCACCCUCAUAUUAAAGCCAAUAAGACCUUAUCAUAAGACGAAGGGUCAAUUGAUGUAAAUUUAAGUGCCAAAGAGUGGUGAUGGGUGAAAUAAUAUUUUGGAUUGAAAUAAUGUUUUAUUAAUAAAAUAAUAUUAAAAUAUUAAUAUUUUAUCUAUUAUUAAAAUUAGCCAUGAAGGAGGAUUAUAUGACUAGUCUAAGUAAGGGAGAAGAAGUAAGAAAGAAUUUUGAAGAAAAACGGCAUUAAUGGAGCCCACGUGUCUUUAUUAAAUAGAGCAAAAGCGAGUAAGUAUAUAUUUAAAUAUUAUGGUGACACCUUGGUGAAGUGCAAAUUUUAUAUUUUAUUUGUACAAGUGUAAAGGAAGGAAAAUAGAAGGAAAUUGAGAUUAAAGAAAUGUUGGAAGGACCAAAUUGCAAAGGAUGAAAAGUUAGAGGAUCGAAUGGUAAAUAAGGAAAAGUUUGAGGACUUAUGUGCAAUUUCAACAUUUAGAGUUAAGUGGAAAAUAACUAACCAAGGAAUGUUAGAUUAUGUGGGAUAAUGACAUAUGCAUGUGAAUUUACUAUUGCAUGCAAAUCAUAGCAUGCAAAAAGGAGAAGUUAGUGGAUAACAUAUGGGACCCCCACCAUGUGAAGUAAAAGGAAGGAUAAGAUUAAAUUUAUUUGCAUGUAAUAAGAUUGGUGCAUUAGGUGGUCAAAUAAAGAAAGUAUAAUGUGGGAUUCAUGUGACUUGAAUGGUUUAAUAAAUGACCAAAUAAAAUAUAAAGUGAAGCUUGUGCAUGAAAUGUGAUUGGAGGAAUAAGGUAGUGCAUGAAAUAAAGAAUGAAGAAAGAAAGAAUGAGAGAGUGAAGGUGGUGGAUGGAAAGCUAAAUGAGGAUAGAUUAUGAGCCAAUGAAAAAGGAUGGAAAUUGGUGCAUGAAAUUUGAGUGGGGGAUGAAUUGGUCCAAUGGGAGAUAAGGAAUAAAUAAGGAAAUGAAAUGUGAGGAAAGGCUUGGAAAAACCAAACCUUUAAGGAAAAAAAGGGAGAAUUAGCUUAGAAGCAAAAAGCGAACGGAAGAAAGAAGAAAGAAAAGAGAAAGGAGAAAGUGUUGUUGUACAUGUGAAUAAUUAAGUAUAUUUAGUUUGAAUUGUUGCUAGGAAGUGUGUAAGUGAGGAAGGUUUGCCGUGGUUGUGUACCGGAGGGGAUAACGGGUGACCGGUAAGUAGAAUUAGCUAGAUAUACACCCGAAUCGAUAACGACAUAGCGUCUCACCAUUGUAAGGUGAGUAGGGGGUGUCUAUUUCAAAAUUUCCAUAACUAUAUAUCGAUAUACGAUUAAUAAACGUGCUAGUUUGCUUUAAAUACAAUUUGCGGACAGCAUGAGUUGGUAGAAUGUUAGGCUUGUGAAUGCCAUGCUUUGAGAAAGGUUUCGUAUAUGUGUAUAUAUUAACUACAUAUGUAAAGAAUUUUAGAAAUCAGGAAACAAGCUCUCUACCACGAUUUAUGUCAAAAUGUGCCUUAUUUGUUUGUGUGAUGUGCAUUCAUGAAUAAAUUACAUAUAUUCACCAUGCUAAUUUGAUAUUUAAACCUCAUGCAAAGGUUUUAUAUUAUAAAGUCUUAUAAAGGGAUUUUAUCAUGUUACCAAGAUUGGUAUUUUGGAAAUGGUUUUGAAAUAAGCUUUUGAGAACCCAACGUGAUUUUUAAAUGGUUUUAUCAAACCAGAGAUUUGAGAGUAGGUCGAAUGUCACAUCGAGAUAGUGUGACCCUUGUGCACAAGUGAGCUCUAGCUAGAGAACCUUUGGGUCACUAGCGGGUUGUUAGAUGUGGCUAGGCCACAGUCUGUGAUAUAUAUAUAUGGCAAGGCCACGAGUUGAUAUAUAUGGUUAGGCCACAAGUUCAUUUACGUGGUUGUAACCACCUGAUUUCUUCGAUGUUAGCCAACAUCGUCGAGAUUUCCAUAGCUAUGGAAUUCGGUGGAGGGGGGCCUCUUAGAUGUUAUUACGUGGAAGCGGGUCCACGAGUUCUUUAUUUCUAUCACCUACUCAAGAUUGAUAUCUCUUUGGGUUUUCAAACACGUAUUCUUUUGCAUGGUGAGAAUUACGGGUUUUUUCGCAGCUCUUUUAUUUAUACGAUGGAUUUGUGUUUAAUAUCUCGAGGAUGAGAUUGUUUAUAAACUUGUGUAUAAGCAUCGAUAUUGCUUGAUUUUAUGGGAGCAUGUGUGCUUAUGUUAGCCUAAUUUUAAGUAAAGGACAACAAAUGAUUUCAAUGGUAGAAGUCUUUUAUUUGCACUGUUUUUUUAUAUAUUACUUGAAGUGACUUUUUCGCAACACAACUUUUGGGUUUACAUAUAAGGCACAAAUGCUUCAUUUGAUUUUAAAUUGUUUAUAUACAUUCGUAUGUUUUUAAUGUUCAAAUUAUCUAUCCUUGGCUUGUUUCCCAUCUACACCCUGCUCACGGACUUGAUGAUCACUGAGACUGUGAAACUCACCCCCUCUAUCUUCCUUUUGCAAAUAAGUGAUCAACUCAAGUGUAUUGCCCCAGCAUAUUUUGAUUCACUGCGACGUAGGUAAUGGCACAUCUUACACUUCCACUCUAAGUCGCUCCGCUGCAUAGAAUUAUUAUUAGUCUAUCGGAUAUGUAUUUGCUAAAACUUUGAGGUUGUGUAAUGAAUUCCAAGUGUAAUAUUGAAACUAGCCCGAAGUUGGUUAAAUGUGGAUAUUGUAUCUAGUUGCUACACUUUAAUUACAACUGUUUAUUUGGUUUAAGUAAAUGGUAACAUUAAUAUUGUAAGUUGAUUUUAGUUAUCCAAAAUCUCAACUAAGGCUUGUUCAGGAUUUGACGGGUUCACUUGCAAGUCUCGGAUGCCAGUAACGAUUGGGGAGAAGGUUGUUACAACAUUGACUAGGAAUAUUUUGAGAUUACGCUUUGAUGCAUAAGGAUCUUAUAACUACAACCCAUUACAAUUCCCUUUGCAAGGCAUAUUAAUCUCAUGGACUUUAUCCCAUUAGACUUAUAACUUGUUAUAAUUGAUGUCUUAUUGAUGAAGGAAAACCUUUAAUCAUUCAACAUGACUGAUGUUGUUGCAUAAUUAGAAUCAAGCCUCAACCAAUCCCAAUUGGCUGCAAGGCUCAUCCUAACAAUAUAUAUAUAUAUCAUUCACAUACCAUGGCAGCACAUUAUUCAAUGAGUGAUGCAUUACUUGCAUUUUCAUUCAAACAAUGUAACCCACUCACAAUGACAAACAAAGACUACUUCAUCACCAAAUCAAUCUUUUCUUGCCCUCAACAAUUCUUCAGCUCACCAAUGUGUUACUGGCUCUAUUUUCCCUUUGAACAAAUCAAAACAAUGAUUAUUUCUUAGCUUUCAAAAGUUUCUAGUAUUUCAAACUAGGCUUUAUUCCAACUACUCAUAGUUAUAAAAUCUUGGUUUUCUUGGUUCCAAAUAUUAUCUUCAAAAGACUUAAAUCCUUACUUUUAUUGCUAGGUUCCUCAAAUCUCAACUCCACAUUUCCAGUAAACUCAAAGGGGAGAUUGCACCUAAACUGAAACAAAUGGGUUUCUAGGUUAUCAAUUAUUCAAAUCAAAAAAUCAAUCAAUGAAAAUGUUUAAUCUUACCUCUAGUAUGAUUUCCAAAGCUCUAAUCCACUUAAAACGGUCUCUAAAACCCACUUAGGGUUUAGGGUUUUAAAACGAUAAAAAAUGGGGAAAGUUUCUUUUUUUGUUUUAAAAUGGGCAGAUGGCCCAGAUCCCUUUUGUUUUUGCAUUUUUGGGUUGAUCUAUUGAUAUAUGAGAAACAUCUAUCAAUAGAUCCCACUAAAAUUAUUGAGCAUUGACCUUCAUCUAUCUACAGAUGGUGCAUUGGACCCCUUCACAUUUUCCCCGUUUAACUAUCUAUCGAUAGAUUCCACGAAUCUAUUAAUAAAUGCUUCGCAAUUUGGUUUCCAUUAAUUCAUAUAGCUAUCUAUCAAUAGAUUUCAUAGAUCUAUCAAUAAAUUCCAUGAAGAUCACAUCAUAUAAUUCUCGAGUGGACAUCUAUCAAUAGUUAAGGUAAAAUUAUUGAUAGAUAUUCAUCUCAAUUACUUUCUCAAGCCUUUUAUCUUGCAUCUAGCAAUAGAUGUAGAACAUCUAUCGAUAGAUCAUGCCCAAAUUUCAUAUUUUUCACUUCUAUAAGUCUUCAAACCCACUCAAUCAAAUACCUAAUUCAUUUCCAUUCAAACAAACACUUCAAAUCCUUCAUAUAACUCAAAAUCUUACAUCUUUACUCAAAUAUAAGAUCAAACCUCGAUCCAAAACCUUAAACUUUAAGAUUCAUCAUUCAUUUUCUAAUAAUUUGCCUAAGGAUUAUACAGCAUUGUUUCCAUACAUUUAACACAUCUUAAAUAUCAUCAAAAUCCUCAAAUAAACAUAGGCAUAUUCUCAAGCCUACAUUCACAUACAUAAAAAUUUAAAUUGAUUCCUCAAAUAGCUUAAUUCACACCACAUAGUCUAUAUCAAGGUUAGGAGUGUUACAAAAACUCACCCUUCCCCCCCCCCCCUCUUUUACGAAAACCUUGUUCCCCCAUGAACCCUAAAACUCCCAUUUUUUUCAAACCUCUUUACACUUUUCUCACCAAUUCUCUCUAUAACCCCAUUAACCCUACCACUACUUAUCUAUCCUAUAGGUGACAAUGAGGAAGAGGAUGAUGAUGAGGAGGAGGAUUAAAGCUUCUCUAGAUUCAUUCAAACCAUCAGGGGAAUAUUCUUUACCUUUUAUGUAUUUUUUUUCUAACAUCGAGGAUGAUGUUUAGUUUAAGUUUAGGGGGUGAAUGUAUUUUUCUAUUAGUGAAUAUUUUGUGAAAAUAUCAAGAAUUAAUUUUAUUUACUUGUUUAGUUAGUUUUUAAGUAAUUAAGGUUAGUUGAUUAUUUAAAUUUUUAUGUUUGCUUGAAUUGUUUGGAAUCUAGAGUAGAGUUGGGCCAAAUUUUUCAAUGAUUUCCUUAUCCAAUGAUGAUAACUAGUUAUCUUGUGUUUUAGCUUUUGGUGAAUAUGGAUAUUGUUUGGUUCAUGCUAAAUUCUUUUGUUUACUAUCAUUGUUAGGAUGUGAUUUCCACAUAUAUUGAGCACCAUGUCUUUUUCUUUGAAUUAUUGUACAAAUCUAGAAAAAGUUUAUAUUUAUGUGAAUUUUAGAUUAUGUCAAGAAUUCCAGAAUUUGCUUGAUUCUUUCUCGAGGUGAAAUCCUAGGGAAUACACUUAGUUAGAGACAUGAUUUAGGCCAGCUUUGGACCAUUUGAGUGUUUCAAGCAAACCUUGAUAUAUCUUUAUCCUUAGUAUACCCUUUUGAGCCUAAUUUCCUUUUUCUUUGUUUAAUCACAUAAUAAUAAGCUUAGCUUUAAAAUAAAAUUUUCAAAUUUUGUAGCCCUCAAUCCUAAGCAUGUAUAUUGUUUUAGGAAAUAUAUAUUGAGUUAAAUGCAUAAGGUAGAAAAAGGUGAAUUGAUAAAAAAAAAAAAUCAACCCACUACCUACAAUAUAAAUAAAUAAGUUUUGGCGGUGUAAAAUGCACUUGAGCAUUUGGCUCAUUUGUUAGUGCAUGAUCCCCAUGUUUAAAGAGCAAGGUUUGAAUCGUCCUUCCCCAAUUAAAAAAAAAGGUUUGGGGGUGUAAAAUUUUGAUGAAAAAAAUAAGAAGAAAAAGUAUAAUAAAGUGUUGAACAAAAAAAAAAAGUUCAAAGAAAGAAAGGGUGUAUGUGGAAAAUUAAAAUAAAGUUCUAUAUAGGUCCUAGAUAAUUAUGUGCUUAGGGUGAAUUAAGCUAAAUUAUUAUCCCUUAUCCUACCUUGACCUUAGCCAUACAUUACAAGCUUUAUAAAGACCUAUUGAUCCUUGACUUUUUAUUAGUCUACAUUAGUGGAAAGAGAGAUGAAAAGCAAACCUAUGGAGUUCUAGUACUAAUUUGAAAUUGUGUAUUACCAUAAACUCAUAUAGAUAAGUAUGAUGUUCUUUGUAAAAGAUUGCACACGCAGACAGGAAUCCAUUCGAGAAUGAGCUUGCAUUUGAAUUGAAACAUGAACAUGAAUGAUGUUUGUAUUUUAUCUUGAGUUAGAGCUUUAUAGAUAUACGUUUGAGGAAACUAUGGAGAUCAUUGAUUUGGUGCUAUUUAUCUUUAGUUAGUUUGUUUAUUUAGGUUGAUUUCAUCAUUUAAAUUGCUUUCACUUUUGUUUUAGUUUUUUUAUGUUUUUCUCGAGGACUAGCAAAAUCUUAAGUUUAGGGGUGUGAUAACUCCAUGAUGUAGAGUUAUUUGGACUUAAUUUUGAUAAUAAAUUAGGUAAGUUCUUAUAGUAAUGCAUAGAAAUUAGUAAGUUUUAUUUAAUUAUUUUAAGUUAGUUAAUUAGAUGAGUCAGUCUAAUCUUCGCUAGAUUGGUGCUUAAAUUGGUGUUAAUGUGCCUAAGAUAUGUUAUUAUUAAUUAGUUUGUUGGUUUUGUAGGUGUGUAAUUGAAAAGGGUGAAAAGUUAUGAAGAUAAGUGUUCAUAAGAUGCGACCUUCACUACACGUCUCAAUAUUUCGACCAUAACUUUCUCUACAAAACUUCAAAUCAAGUUAUUCUUAGACCACUGAAAAGAUAGGAGAAAAAUCUACAACUUUCAUGUGUACCACUUCGUUCAUUUUAGCCUAAAAGGUGGUCACAAACCUCGUCAUAUUUGAAGCACUACAAUAGUCCAAGUUAAAAAAAACAAGGCCGUGGCCUUGGAGGAGGUAAGCCACCGCACCUUGACAUGACUUCCCUAUUUUGUUCACCUUUAAAUGGUCAAGGCCUCAACCUAGGAAGAUGUGUAAUCCCACCUAGAGUUAAAGAAUAAGUUAGGAAACUUGUAGGUGAGCAUAUAGAUUACAUAUUUUGAACAUCAAACUUAGUUUUAAUGUUCAAAAGAAUCCAUUGACACUUUUAAUUGUCUGUCACUUUUAAGGUAAAAAAUUUUCUAAGUUUGGAAGGGUCAAAAUAUGUGAUUUUUAUAGAAUAAUCUUUUGGGAAUAAAAAAUGGCACUAAUGAUUCCUUUGACUUUUAGAUGACCAAAAAUGAUUUUUUCAUAAUUUUUAGAGCAAGUCUGAUAUGGCAAAUGAGAGCCGCAAAUUUAAUUUUAGUCGAACUUUUUCAAUUUUGUUCUUGAAGUCAAAAUUUAGAUUUUAAUUCUUUUGGGUUUUGAUUUUUUUAUAUUUUUAUUAAAUCCAAAUGGGGGGUUGUUUGCUUAUUUACAUUAAAUAUCUUAAAUAAAUAAAGAGUAAAAGGUAAAGACAUUAAAUAUCUUAAAUAAAUAGAGCGUAAAAGGUAAAAAGGACAUUUACUUAAACAAUAUUUCAUGCAAAUAAGCUGGGCAGGUUUUUAUGGACAAUCUACCUUAGAAACUACAUUUUGUCUCAAAUGUAUCAAUACAUGUUCAUGAUGUAUCGAUACAUUUUCUCCAAAACCAAAUAUAUCAAUACAUUUUCUACAAAACCAAAUGUAUCGAUACAUGGGCCAAUGUAUUGAUACAUUGCAUCGAUUUUUGAAAAAAUAAAAAGGGUAAAAGGGUAUUUUCACAUCCUAUAGUAUAAAUACGACCCCAACUCCAAAUGUUUUCAUUCUAAGUCAUCUCCCAUCAAUUUUUCAGCAAGUCUAAGCUCUCUCAAAUCAAUUUUCACCCCAAUUCAUCAUUUUGGAAUAUUAGAAGCUUGGAUUUGGGUUUUUUAAACAAAGGUGACAUCUUUCAACUUUUAAAUCUUGAUUUAUGAAUUUUCCAGAACUAAAAAUAUUAUUUUUAUGCUCAGAUUUUCUAUUGAACACUAAAGCUCAAAGAUUUUGUGAUUUUCCUUAGCAUCAAAGCUCACCUAGGGUAAGGAUAAAAUAUUUAUGGGUUUCUAAGCAUGGGUUUUAGCUAGAAAAUUAGUUUAGCCAAAAGCGAGUAGUUUCGAAAGUACCUAGAAUGAUUAUUUCGACAUUUUUAUUAUAAGAAAUGAUUGUGAUGAUUGUUGUGUGAUAAGAACACUUGAAAACUCCACCGAUUUCACUGAAACAGAGUUAUGAAUUAAGUUUAGAAUAGAAUCUCUAACUACUUGAGUGAAUACACCACUUUUAAAUUAUUUUGAUAUGUAAAGCUAGCAUGACUUUGAUGGAAAUGGAUUAUAUAUGUAUGUUGAAAUGAUAUCUCUAAAACGAUUUAUCAAAGGAUUUGAGUUUCAAGAACGAAAAUGAUUUUCCAAGAAAAAUAAAUGAUUUUCCAAGAAAAAUAAAUUCUUAGUGAUUGUGAUAUGAUUGAUACAAUGGUUUUUAAAUUAUUUAUGAAUCUACUAUAUAUGUAAAUAUUCUACUAUGUAUAGGUUUUCAACAAGCAAGGACAAGCAUCUUAUGUUUGAAGUCCACUCGAUUACUCCGGUCUUCAAAUUAGUGUGGGUACGAGAGAUUGUAUGCUUAUUUAUAGAUGCUAUAAUGUGCAUGAUUGGUAUGAUGAAUGCCAUAAGAUUAUGUAUAUGAUAUAAAUUCCAUAUACCAUAUCAGAUGGUUAAGUAUCCAUAAUGUAUACUAUAAGAUUGUGUAGAUGAUGUAAAUUCCUUAUACGAUAUGAAGUGAUUAUGCAUGAAUGAUAAAUGCCAUGAGAUUAUGUAUAUGAUGUAUUUUCCAUAUACCUUAUGAGAUGAGUAAGCUUGUAUGUGAAGAAUAUCCCGCAUACCUAAUGCUAUGAGUAUGAGAACUCUAUAAGUGUGAUUGAUUCCACUUUCAUGGGGUGCAAGUGAUGACUUCACUACUAUGAUGCAUCAUAAAUGCCUAAGGGCAAUGGGGAUGUAUGUUACCUGCCCAAGGUGAUAGGGAUGUACCAUUACAAAGUAUGAGUUUAAUGUUAAUGGAAUGAUAAUAAUUAUUAUGUUUAUGGUAUGUUGCAUACUAAUGUUGUUUGAGAAUUGUUCAUGAUUUAUAUUCUAUGAUGGCAUGAGAAUGUGCUUAGUGAAAAUGACUGAUCCUUAGAGAAAGUCCCAAAAGGUAAAGGAACUUAAGGAAUGGUAAAAAUGGAGGAUUGUGCCGAGAACUUUGGGUUCUAAGUUGAAAGUAUCGAUACAUAUGGGUUAGUUAUUUAUACAUUCUAAACAGAAUGUUUUAUGAGGCUUUCUGUGUGAAAUGUAUCAAUAUAAUUUACUAAUUUAUCGAUAGAUGCUUGAAAGUAUCGAUACAUUCAAGAAUGUGUCAAUAGAUUUGGUGCAGAGUAGGCUGUUUGAUUGAAUUUGAUGAGAAUUUCAAAUGUGAAGGAUUCCCAAAGGUUUAUAUUAACAUGUUUUCAAAGGAAUGCUAUUCGAAUGUGUUCAAUAGCAUGUUUUAUAAAUUCCAUAAUGAAAUUGUUUAUGAAUGUCAUGAGAUUACAAGUGCAUGUUUACGACAUACUUCUAUCCCCUAGCUUGUCCUCAUCACGUAUCCACUCACGAAGUCUUUAUGACUCACACAUUAUUUUCCCCAAUUAUUUUGUUGCAGAUCAGUGAUAGCAGCCAGUGUCACAAAUACCAGUGCCCGAUCUUCAUUAUUUGAUAAGUGUCUAACAGCCACUUGAUGCUUAGGAUCAUAUUCCAUAGACGAGUUAGUAUUUUACUUUAUGUUUAUGUUAUAGACUAUGAACAUGUUUAUGUUGAUGUUGCCAAUGUUGGGCAUUUUAUAUUGAUAAUGUUUGUAUAGGAUUAUGAUGAUGGCUCGAGAGCCUACAUAGACAUCUAAGGGUUUUGUUGAUAGGAAAUGUUAAUGCGCAUUAUGAUAGUGGCAUUUUUUCAUAUAUAUAUACAUGGAUACAAAAUGCUUGAGCUUACACAAUCAAGUUGAUAAGUUCCUUAAUUAUAUAAUGAGUAUUAUGAAUGCAUGAAUGAUGGUUUCGUAUGUAAACGGAUGUUGUAAGAUGCUUCCGCAUGUAAUGAGGAAUGUUUAAUAAGGUUAUGGUAAGAGGCUUGCUUAGGCCUAAUGGGUUAUGCUCGUCCAAUUCCAUGUGCCAAUCAUGAUCCCUUUUGAAUAUGUGAUGUGACAGAAGAGGUUAGCCACGACGCACCUGCUGCUAAUUGGAAAUCCUUGUUGAUUCCGACUUCUUUCUUCACACAAACUUGAACCUUAUUUAUGCAACCUUUCAGAAAACUUUUAAAAGAUGAAAAACACAAGAUUUAGAGCUAAAAUUUAGGCACAAAAUCAUUGAAGAAAAGUCUCAUUUGAGUUAAGAAGAAAUUGAAAGAUUCAAGAAGAUUUGGAGAUCAAGAUUUCAACUUUUAGAGUUAGUUUAUUCUUUUUGUUAUUCUUUAUUUUUUUUGGUUUGGUUUCAAUGUUUAAACUCUAUUUGAUGAUGAUUUGUGACAUUAUGGGGAACUAAUUUAGUUAUCUAAGAUUAUGAUUGAACUCAAUACGUAGUCUAAAUUAUUUAUCUCUCUUUUGCUUAAAUUUGAUGGUUUAAGUUGUUUAUUUUAUUCUAUUAUUAAUGCUUUUAAUUGCCUAAUCACCAAUUAGAUUGAAUUGGAAAUCUAAGUUAAACUUUGAUGAAGGAGAUUUAAGGUAGACCUUGAAUAGAAUAGUGUAUGAUCGAAUGCACUCAGUUAAUUAGGUGGUUUAAUUUGCAUAUACGGUAGACAUACUGUCAAGCCUGACUCUACAAUAUGUUUAUUAUGCCAUUCUUACAUAAGAAUACAUGUUUGCUUACUUGGGUACCCUGGAAAUCGUUAAAGGAUGGUAUUGUACCAAAUGGUACAAUUAAGUUGAAUUAAGCCUCGAACUAGUCCAAAUAAAGAUUUUAAGAUGAAAUUGAGAAAUUUAAAACCCCAGAAUGACUUAAAAUGGUGAUUCGGAGUUCAAGAACCAAUUUGGAGUCAAAUUGGAAUUUUCAUGACCUAAAGGCAAAAUGGUCAUUUUGCCACCCAAGGUUAAGAUGUGAGUGCUGGCUGGAAUUUUUGACUAAGAUUGAUCAUUGGGAGUAUAAUUUGAGUUUGAGAAGUGAAGAAUUUUAAUUUCGGCAUUUUUUUUAGCAUAGGGGUAAAAUAGUCAUUUUACCACCUUAGGGGCAAAAUUGUAAUUUUACAGCACCCAACACUUGUCCAGCACAUGGAUUUUACCCAAUAUUAUCAUGGAUAAUUAAGGAAAUUUAAGUGGUGGAGAGAGAUUGCUUAAUGGCUAAGUAUGACUCAUGGACCAAUGAAAUGGUGACAUGUGUCAAAAUCUCAUCCAUUCAUUAUUUUCCUUAUAAAUUAGCACAAAAUCAGCCCAUUUCUUUUCAUUAUGGCUAGCCAUAGCAAGAACAAAGGAAGAAAAGAAGAACACCAACCCUAGGUGGAAAAAUUCAAGGGAAAAGUGUGGAAAUUCAAGUAAUCAAGCAAUCAAAGGUAAAAUUUCUUGAUUUUGACUUGCGAUCUACCUUUCCCAUGCAUUAUUUUGCAUUUUCCAUGGUUGAAUCACAAGAUAUCAUGAAGGAUUCAUGGCUGACCGAAUUUAGAGAGAGAAGAUUUGAUGAUUGAUUUGGUUAGAUUUUAAGAUAUUUUACUGUUUUUAGUUAGUUAGUGAUGUGUAGCAUGGAAAUCAAGCAAGAAAAAUUCAUUUUCUCCCAUCACCCAUCAUUGGCCGAAUUUUCCAUGUAGAGUGUGGAUGAUGAUUUUGAUUUUAUUUCAAGUGAAUUGGUUAGGAAAUGAUGAUUUAUGGUGUGAGAAUCAAGUAGAAAAAAUCAUAGUAUUGAUGCACCCACCAUGGUCGAAUUUUUCAAGAGAAAAUGUGAAGAUGAUUUUGCUAGAUUUUAUGCUAUUUGACUUGUGUUUGAUGAGUUGGAGUAUUGAGAUAAAAAUGGAGUUAAUUGGAGUUGAAUUGGACAUAUUGGCCAAUUAAUCGAGUGAUAGAUCAAAUUAGGCCAAUACCAAUUUAAUUAGGAACCCAAAUGAAUUUGUGUAGAAUACCGUGUUUAGACAGUAAUCCGAACAAUUUGCAUCCCAUUUCAUGCAUUAGUAUAGAGCCUGAAUUGGUUUUAUAACAAUUUAGCACUAAUGUAGUAAAUGGUUUAUUGUGCAUUAUGUCUAAGUGGUGAGCAUUCUGGCAAAAGUAAAGAGAUAGUACCUGAGGAUCAAGAAUCGGAGUACUUGAAAUUUGACUUUUGAAAUAGUGAGUAACCUUAUCAUCAUCUUGAUUAUCUGAAGUGAAUUUUAAUUCAUUUUUGUGAUUUUAUGGAAAAUGAGUUUAAAUGGUAAAUCUUUAUGCUUUAAAAGCAAAAUGUGAUUAAAUGAAAUGAUUUUAUAAAAUUGUCUUGAAAUUGAAUGAUGGUUUUGGAAAAUGGAGAAAUUGGAGACUAAUUGUAGUGUUGUAAAUUAUGGUUUGAAUUGAGUGGCUUAUGAUAAUGUGGGCAUAAGUGGCUGAAUUGGUAAUUGUGCUAAACAUAUGUGAACUGUUGUUUUGCCUUGACAUGUUGUGUUGUAAAAUAAUUGCCACGUUAUGCUACUGAAAUUUUAUUGAUUUGGUGGGAUAUCGAUUAGCUUACUGCAGUUGGCGGGUUUCCGUGGACCGGCCUACUAGAGGGGCACGGUAAACCUCGUUAUAUCUUACCUCAGUAUGAGAGGUGCAGAUGGAUAACUCUUGAGGUUAACACUUUAGAGUUCACUUCACGCCAAACCACGACGUGAGGGUGAACUCAGCUAACGCCAAGAAACAGCUUUGUUUCAAAAUAAAAACAUGAUUUAUGUGCACAUAACUUUUUAACAGCCUUGGCGAACUAGGUUGGGAUAGCCCUCGAUCAAGGCAUCCCUGAUAACUGGGUAUGAGAAUGAUUUUGGCAGGAGCCAAAGUUUUAAGAAAUUCAUAAGCCAUGUUGAUUACUCGAUUUAUAUGAAUUGAUUAUUUUUGGUUGAAACAAGUUGAAAGGUGAUGUAUUACAAUAUGUUAAACUGUUUAUCUGUCUCCAUUUACUCAACUUUAGAUGUUUUAGAUGGUAUUUGUUUACUCACUAGGAUUAUAUAAUCUCACCACCCUCCUUUUCACCCCUUUCAGGCUCAAGAUAGUCGGUAGAUAGCUCACUUUGUUGAGGGCUACAGUUGGACUUGCAUCCUCAAAAACUGUAGGUUUACUGCUUUUAAUACUUUUGGUUAUUCGAGGGCCCACUUGUUACUAUAAAUUAAAUUAAAUACUCUGGCUUACUGUAUUACAAUAUAUAUGAAUUUAUUUUGCUU
rnacentral:lncRNA from 1 species